AACACUGGUUCCCUUAUGAUCACCAAAGUUAAGCAACAUUGAGCCUGCUCAGUAACUAGAUGGGUGACUGCUUGGAAAUAUCAGGU